rnacentral:ncRNA from 1 species
UCUCCGAGAGACGUGCUUCGGCACGUCUCUCGGAGAGCCAAGACGAAUCCAAGUCAACAACCAAACCAAAUGUCAAGGUACUGUAGUGGUACUGUACGGGUACUGUAGGUAUACGGUAGGGUUACUGUAGUUUGAAAAAAAA